GACCAAGGAGUCUAGCAUGUACGCGAGUCAUUGGGACAUAACUAAACCUAAAGGCGUAAUGAAAGUAAAGGUCCGCCUCGCGUGGACUGAGGGAAGAUGGGCGGUCCCUGUGGCCGCCUCGCACUCCCGGGGCGUCUCGUUCUCAUUGCGAGAAGAGGCGCACCAAGAGCGUACACGCUGGGACCCGAAAGAUGGUGAACUAUGCCUGGUCAGGACGAAGUCAGGGGAAACCCUGAUGGAGGUCCGUAGCGAUUCUGACGUGCAAAUCGAUCGUCGGAACUGGGUAUAGGGGCGAAAGACUAAUCGAACCAUCUAGUAGCUGGUUCCCUCCGAAGUUUCCCUCAGGAUAGCUGGCGCUCGUUGCGCACGAGUCUCAUCCGGUAAAGCGAAUGAUUAGAGGCAUUGGGGUCGAAACGGCCUCAACCUAUUCUCAAACUUUAAAUGGGUGAGAUCUUCGGCUUGCUCGAACUAUUGAAGCCGCAAGAAACGGAUCACAGUGCCAAGUGGGCCAUUUUUGGUAAGCAGAACUGGCGCUGUGGGAUGAACCAAACGUCGAGUUAAAGCGCCUAAAUCGACGCUUAUCGGAUACCAUGAAAGGCGUUGGUAACUUAAGACAGCAGGACGGUGGCCAUGGAAGUCGGAA
rnacentral:rRNA from 1 species